rnacentral:lncRNA from 1 species
CUAGCCAAGACACAACUAGUGGAGAGGAGCUUCCACACCCUUUCUCAAGCAACGGGGAACCUCAGACCUGCGCCUGUUCAACAGAAUAAAAGGCCCAAGCUGGUGAUCCAGGCUCCCCCUUAGGCUCCAGUGGCAGGAUGUGGUGAGAUCUGUAAGCACUGUGGCAGGGAUCAUAGAGACCGACCCUGCUAUCGCCUCAACAACACCUGUCGCAUAUGUGGUAGUGCCCAACAUUAUGCGAUGGAGUGUCCAAGGAACCAGAAUCAGGGGAGACCUCCUAUCUAGGGCAGAGCUUACAAUCUCAUCCAGCAGGAUGCAAAAGUUAACCCGGACGUGGUACAAGCUAUGUACAUUAUCUGUAACUAUCUUGCUCAUGUUUUAAUUGAUACGAGUGCAUCGCCUUCAUUUGUUUCACCUGUUUUUACAUUAAAAUUUAAUGU